UGAAGAAGAUGAGGCUUGGAUUUCGCAAAUUAGGAGAAGGUUUCCCACGUUAGAAUCCUAUCAUGUGACCUAUGACACUAAGGUGAACCAAGCAAACAAUCUCAUAGAGGGAGGGAGAGGACCUGAGUGCAUAGCAAUUAGUGAUCCUAAGUACUCUAUGUGCCUACUAGCCUUGAAAGGCUUGCCAAGUGAAGUUUGUAACAUAAAGUGGGAUUUGAUCAUGGUUGAUGCACCUACAGGAUACGAUGAAGAGGCCAUAGGAAGAAUGACUGCUAUAAAUACUGCAGGAAUGAUGACUAGGAACAGGCCACAGGAAAAGACUGAAGCGUUUGUGCAUGAUGUGAAUAGAGA
rnacentral:misc_RNA from 1 species